UUCACAUGUGUCUUCAAAUUUCUUAUAUAAUUUUCAUAAAAAACACCGGGAGUUUACGUUUCUUGUAGAAAAUGAAAGAAAUGUGUAGAUUCGAAAAGUGUCAUCAAAAUAAAUAUUUUUCAAGUUUUAUUGAAUUAAUUCAAUAACUAAUUCAAUAUAUUCUUUGGAAUAAGUCAUUCUUUGGAAAAAAAAUCAAGAAAACUGACGUUUAAGAAUAUUGUAUUAUUAACAAAUAUUUUAAAAAUAAAUUGUUAAUAAAAAUGUCACGAGCAAAAUUAAAACAUCCGGCCUUCAAGAUAUUAAUGGUUGGAAGUAUCACAAUGACUACAACUCUUAUGUUUUUUCGUUCUUCCCUUGAUAACAAAAUAAAAAGUACCACAUCCUAUCAAGAAGCUAUAAAAAUUUUACAUUCAGAAGAGUUGCCUAGGAAAUAUUUAGGCGAACCUAUUGUUGAAAAAAGUUUUAAUUUUUUAUCAUCUGAAAGUAGCGGGAUGGAAGGAAAGUGGAGAUGGAUUAUGCUUGGAGUAGAAGGUCCAAAAAAUCAAGGUUUUUUAAAGUACUGGUUUAGCAGUGAUAAUGAAGGACAUCAUAAACUUUUGAAAGUCACAUUAUUAGAUACGAAUUACGAAGACGUUUUUAAUACGUUUACAAUUCCCAAAAAGGAUCAAUAGAUAUUUGUAAAUAAAUUAAAUACUGAUAUGUUAUAAUUAAAAGUUUUUUAUUGUU